rnacentral:tRNA from 1 species
GGCUUCGUAGCUCAACUGGUAAAGCGGUUGCCGCAUUGAGGCAUGGUGUUUCUGUCGCUGGUUCGAAUCCAGCCGAAGCCC